rnacentral:rRNA from 1 species
GGAUGAACGCUGGCGGCAUGCCUAACACAUGCAAGUCGAACGGAGCUAUUAGACGGAAGCCUUCGGGCGGAAGAUUAAUAGCUUAGUGGCGGACGGGUGAGUAACGCGUGAGUAACCUGCCUCUCAGAGGGGGAUAACGUUCUGAAAAGAACGCUAAUACCGCAUAUAAUCAAGAAACCGCAUGAUUUUUUGAUGAAAGGAGCAAUCCGCUGAGAGAUGGACUCGCGUCUGAUUAGCUAGAUGGUGGGGUAACGGCCUACCAUGGCGACGAUCAGUAGCCGGACUGAGAGGUUGAACGGCCACAUUGGGACUGAGACACGGCCCAGACUCCUACGGGAGGCAGCAGUGGGGGAUAUUGCGCAAUGGGGGAAACCCUGACGCAGCAAUGCCGCGUGAAGGAAGAAGGUUUUCGGAUUGUAAACUUCUUUUGUUAAGGACGAAGAAUGACGGUACUUAACGAAUAAGCUCCGGCUAACUAUGUGCCAGCAGCCGCGGUAAUACAUAGGGAGCAAGCGUUAUCCGGAUUUACUGGGUGUAAAGGGUGCGUAGGCGGCUAAGCAAGUCAGAUGUGAAAUACACGGGCUCAACCCGUGAGCUGCAUUUGAAACUGUUUAGCUUGAGUGAAGUAGAGGCAGGCGGAAUUCCCGGUGUAGCGGUGAAAUGCGUAGAGAUCGGGAGGAACACCAGUGGCGAAGGCGGCCUGCUGGGCUUUAACUGACGCUGAGGCACGAAAGCGUGGGUAGCAAACAGGAUUAGAUACCCUGGUAGUCCACGCUGUAAACGAUGAUUACUAGGUGUGGGUGGACUGACCCCAUCCGUGCCGCAGUUAACACAAUAAGUAAUCCACCUGGGGAGUACGACCGCAAGGUUGAAACUCAAAGGAAUUGACGGGGGCCCGCACAAGCAGUGGAGUAUGUGGUUUAAUUCGAAGCAACGCGAAGAACCUUACCAGGUCUUGACAUCCAACUAACGAGGUAGAGAUACAUUAGGUGCCCUUCGGGGAAAGUUGAGACAGGUGGUGCAUGGUUGUCGUCAGCUCGUGUCGUGAGAUGUUCGGUUAAGUCCGCUAACGAGCGCAACCCUCGCUGUGUGUUACAAGUGUCACACGGUACUGCCGAUAUUAAGUCGGAGGGAGGUGGGGAUGACGUCAAGUCAGCAUGACCUUUAUAUCCAGGGCUACACACACGCUACAAUGGCCAGUACAAUGGGUUGCCAAGCCGCGAGGCGGAGCCAAUCCUAAAAAGCUGGCCUCAGUUCAGAUUGCAGUCUGCAACUCGACUGCAUGAAGUUGGAGUUGCUAGUAACCGCAGGUCAGCAAUACUGCGGUGAAUACGUUCCCGGGGAU